rnacentral:rRNA from 1 species
AUUGAACGCUGGCGGCAGGCCUAACACAUGCAAGUCGAACGAGUGGCGGACGGGUGAGUAAUGUCUGGGAACCUGCCUGAUGGCGGGGGAUAACUACUGGAAACGGUAGCUAAUACCGCAUACCAUCGGAUGUGCCCAGAUGGGAUUAGCUAGUAGGUGGGGUAACGGCUCACCUAGGCGACGAUCCCUAGCUGGUCUGAGAGGAUGACCAGCCACACUGGGACUGAGACACGGUCCAGACUCCUACGGGAGGCAGCAGUGGGGAAUAUUGCACAAUGGGGGCAAGCCUGAUGCAGCCAUGCCGCGUGUGUGAAGAAGGCCUUCGGGUUGUAAAGCACUUUCAGCAGGGAAGCGUUACCCGCAGAAGAAGCACCGGCUAACUCCGUGCCAGCAGCCGCGGUAAUUC